UUGAACGCUGGCGGCAUGCCUUACACAUGCAAGUCGAACGGUAACGGGCCUUCGGGUGCCGACGAGUGGCGAACGGGUGAGUAAUACAUCGGAACGUGCCCGAUCGUGGGGGAUAACGAGGCGAAAGCUUUGCUAAUACCGCAUACGAUCUACGGAUGAAAGCAGGGGACCGCAAGGCCUUGCGCGGACGGAGCGGCCGAUGGCAGAUUAGGCAGUUGGUGGGAUAAAAGCUUACCAAGCCGACGAUCUGUAGCUGGUCUGAGAGGAUGAUCAGCCACACUGGGACUGAGACACGGCCCAGACUCCUACGGGAGGCAGCAGUGGGGAAUUUUGGACAAUGGGCGCAAGCCUGAUCCAGCCAUGCCGCGUGCAGGAUGAAGGCCUUCGGGUUGUAAACUGCUUUUGUACGGAACGAAAAGCCUUCUUUUAAUACAGGAGGGUCAUGACGGUACCGUAAGAAUAAGCACCGGCUAACUACGUG
rnacentral:rRNA from 1 species